rnacentral:rRNA from 1 species
GUGGGUAACCUGCCUGUAAGACUGGGAUAACUCCGGGAAACCGGAGCUAAUACCGGAUAGUUCCUUGAACCGCAGGUUCAAGGAUGAAAGACGGUUUCGGCUGUCACUUACAGAUGGACCCGCGGCGCAUAGCUAGUUGGUGGGGUAAUGGCUCACCAAGGCGACGAUGCGUAGCCGACCUGAGAGGGUGAUCGGCCACACUGGGACUGAGACACGGCCCAGACUCCUACGGGAGGCAGCAGUAGGGAAUCUUCCGCAAUGGACGAAAGUCUGACGGAGCAACGCCGCGUGAGUGAUGAAGGUUUUCGGAUCGUAAAGCUCUGUUGUUAGGGAAGAACAAGUGCGAGAGUAACUGCUCGCACCUUGACGGUACCUAACCAGAAAGCCACGGCUAACUACGUGCCAGCAGCCGCGGUAAUACGUAGGUGGCAAGCGUUGUCCGGAAUUAUUGGGCGUAAAGGGCUCGCAGGCGGUUUCUUAAGUCUGAUGUGAAAGCCCCCGGCUCAACCGGGGAGGGUCAUUGGAAACUGGGAAACUUGAGUGCAGAAGAGGAGAGUGGAAUUCCACGUGUAGCGGUGAAAUGCGUAGAGAUGUGGAGGAACACCAGUGGCGAAGGCGACUCUCUGGUCUGUAACUGACGCUGAGGAGCGAAAGCGUGGGGAGCGAACAGGAUUAGAUACCCUGGUAGUCCACGCCGUAAACGAUGAGUGCUAAGUGUUAGGGGGUUUCCGCCCCUUAGUGCUGCAGCUAACGCAUUAAGCACUCCGCCUGGGGAGUACGGUCGCAAGACUGAAACUCAAAGGAAUUGACGGGGGCCCGCACAAGCGGUGGAGCAUGUGGUUUAAUUCGAAGCAACGCGAAGAACCUUACCAGGUCUUGACAUCCUCUGACAACCCUAGAGAUAGGGCUUUCCCUUCGGGGACAGAGUGACAGGUGGUGCAUGGUUGUCGUCAGCUCGUGUC